GAGUUUGAUCGUGGCUCAGGAUGAACGCUAGCUACAGGCUUAACACAUGCAAGUCGAGGGGCAGCAUGAAAGUUUGCUUGCAAACUUUUGAUGGCGACCGGCGCACGGGUGAGUAACACGUAUCCAACCUGCCUCAUACUCGGGGAUAGCCUUUCGAAAGAAAGAUUAAUACCCGAUGUCAUAGUCCUACCGCAUGAUGGGACUAUUAAAGAAUUUCGGUAUGGGAUGGGGAUGCGUUCCAUUAGUUAGUUGGCGGGGUAACGGCCCACCAAGACAACGAUGGAUAGGGGUUCUGAGAGGAAGGUCCCCCACAUUGGAACUGAGACACGGUCCAAACUCCUACGGGAGGCAGCAGUGAGGAAUAUUGGUCAAUGGACGAGAGUCUGAACCAGCCAAGUAGCGUGAAGGAUGACUGCCCUAUGGGUUGUAAACUUCUUUAUAUGGGAAUAAAUGUUCCACGUGUGGGUAUUUUGUAUGUACCAUAUGAAUAAGGAUCGGCUAACUCCGUGCCAGCCG
rnacentral:rRNA from 1 species